rnacentral:tRNA from 1 species
AAUAAAGUGCCUGAUAAAUAGGGUUGUUUUGAUAGAGCAAAAUAUGUGUAUUACACCUUUAUUA